rnacentral:rRNA from 1 species
UACGUAGGUGGCAAGCGUUGUCCGGAUUUACUGGGCGUAAAGAGCGCGCAGGCGGUCGGUCAAGUCGCGUGGGAAAGCCCCCGGCUCAACUGGGGAGGGUCACGCGAUACUGAUCGACUCGAAGGCAGGAGAGGGUAGUGGAAUUCCCGGUGUAGUGGUGAAAUGCGUAGAUAUCGGGAGGAACACCAGUGGCGAAGGCGACUUCCUGGCCUGUUCUUGACGCUGAGGCGCGAAAGCUAGGGGAGCAAACGGG